UCCGAAUAACUUACCACCCUUAGUAGGCGGUCUCCACUCUCGACCAAUUGAAUAACUUGGAGGGAGGAAGAGAGAGAAUGAGCGGGGAGGAGUUACCGACGAAGGAGGCAAGUGUGCUUCGAGGGCACGAAGGCGGCGUAUUAGCAGCCCGUUUUAAUGGCGAUGGAAAUUACUGUCUGAGUUGUGGCAAAGACCGUACUAUUCGUCUUUGGAAUCCUCACCGUGGCAUUCACAUCAAAACCUACAAGUCUCAUGGCCGUGAAGUCCGCGACGUCCAUGUUACCUCGGACAACUCAAAGCUUAUAUCAUGUGGUGGUGACCGUCAAAUCUUUUACUGGGAUGUAUCUACUGGUCGUGUACUUCGCAAGUUCCGCGGACAUGAUAGUGAGGUAAAUGCAGUGAAGUUCAAUGCUUAUGCAUCUGUUGUAGUAUCAGCUGGGUAUGAUCGUUCUGUGCGUGCUUGGGACUGUAGAUCUCAUAGUGCUGAACCAAUUCAGAUGUUUAAGUUUAUGAUAUUCCAGAUCAUCGACACUUUUCAAGACUCUGUAAUGUCAGUGUGUUUGACGGAUAGUGAAAUUAUUGCUGGAAGUGUUGACGGAACUGUCCGAACAUUUGAUAUUCGAACUGGUAGGGAACUAUCUGAUAACUUGGGACAACCUGUCAACUGUAUAUCAUUGUCUAAUGAUGGUAACUGUGUAUUAGCAAGCUGUCUAGAUUCUACUUUACGUCUUCUCGACAGGUCUUCUGGGGAGCUACUGCAAGAAUAUAAAGGUCAUGUGUGCAAGUCAUUCAAACUUGACUGCUGCCUUACCAAUAGUGAUGCUUAUGUGACCGGUGGAUCCGAGGAUGGUUAUAUCUUCUUCUGGGAUUUGGUGGAUGCAUCUAUUGUCUCGAGAUUCCGAGCUCAUGCCUCAGUGGUUACAAGUGUAAGUUAUCAUCCGAAGGACGACUGUAUGAUAAGUGCCUCUGUUGAUGGAACCAUCCGCGUCUGGAGAAGAUGAGAACCAUCAACCAGCAUAUCAUCUCUGAGUCCUGCCGGUACUUGGCCCUGUGAUCCUAUGUUACAAGUGUAAGUUAUCGUCCGAAGGACUGUAUGAUAAGUGCCUGUGUUGAUGGAACCAUUCGCGUCUGGAAAACAUGAACCAUCAACCAGCAUACUAACUCUGAGUCCUACCGGUAUUUGGCCCUGUGAUCCUGUGUGUGCUGUAUACUCAUAGUUUUGUCUCAAAAACGUCUAUACCUGCAAUGAAGUCCGGUUUUUUCGAUUCUAUUGUUGUCACAAUGUCAUCUACUCUCUCUUUGGGUCAGAACUCAAUACGCUGCAGCUUGGUGUGGAGUUUCUCUGGAUGUUCCUAGUAAAUUUUAGAAUGAACUCUCAUCUAUUUGAAGGAUUAUGAUGAGAAUUGAGAGUUAAGGGUUUCAUAUACACUCGUAUAAAUGUAAAAGAGUAUUGAAGUGCUAAUUUAAUCUGGGAUAUUUUGUAUAAGGAGGAAGUAGUAUGAUUUGUACGCUAAUUGUUCAGUUCAUACUUAGAAGUUAUACAAUAAAAUCUUCAUAAAGUUGAGCUCAGAAAGCUAAAGCAAGUGGGAGAAGAACAUUAAAUAGAAUAAGUUAAUCUCGAGUUGAGCUUAUGUUUAGCUCAAACCCAAGAUGAACUUCAACAUUUAGUUAUUUCUGUUUACUUUAAAUUUGUUUUUCAACGAUAUUAUAAUUUUUAUUGUUUAGAAAUAUAUAUAAUUUAAUAUGAGUUUAAAGUCAACUCAUUUUAAAGCA